GGAAGGAUCAUAGCUCAGUAGCAAAGUAUUUGCCUUGGCUACACAAGGUCCCAGGUUCAAGUCCUGGUUUUUCCA